GGAUUCAAUUUUUUGUUGAAAUCAAAAAAAGUUUAAUUUUGGACCCCGAUUUGGACCAACUUGAAAACUGAUAAUUGUAUGUUACAGUAUUCUUUAAUAAUCUAGUACAAGCAACAAACAGUACAAAUUUCAGAAAUAUAAAGUGUAAAAAUUUUAAAUUAAUACAUGUAUUAGUAAAUAUCUUAAUCAGAAGCAUUACAAAUAAGUAUGCAUUUUUUUAAUGGUUGGGACAUGGAUUAUCAUAAUUUCUUUAAAACGGUGAAACAUACAAUAUAUGGUUUGUAACAUCUCAGCUAAUACAAGAUCCAUAAGAUAUAAAUACAAACCAAAUUAAACAAAUGAUUGUCAAGUUUAGAACUGGUUGUGUCUACAGAUACCACAUCUUCCUUGAUGCAGAGGGCACUCAUUUCAUACUCAUUUACUUCAUUGUAUCCAAAUUAAAAAGAGUGAAAUUAAAACAAAUAAACAUCAAUAUAUUAUCAAUAUAAGUUUGAACAGUUUCUUCCUUCUAUAAAUCUUUUUUUAAGUAAACAAAAGCUAAUACAAAGUAAGCAUUCAAUAAUUGUAAAAUUUUCUUUGGUUAAUGUAGAUUCCUUUGGUCCCUUAUUUAGUAAAUAAUCUGUUUUUUUUUUUUAUACAAACCCAAUUGUUAAGGAUUUUCUACUGUAAAUAUAUGUUAUACAAUGUAUGAAAGUAGUAUAUCAACUAAGGGUGAAGUUUGAGGUCAAUAAACUUCUUUUGAGUGAUAUGUCCUUGUAUAUACCUCAGAAAAAGGCUACAAUGGUUAUAUUAUUAUUGUUAAUACAUGUAGUCAAAAGUAGAGAAGAAAUUUAUUUAGUUGGUUCUUACAAUUUCAUCACAUAUUUUAAAAUAACUGUGGAAUAUCACUUUUCUAUCUGAUGCUUUCAGUCUACCUUUGAAAAAAUAGUAUAACAUGUGAUUCUUCAAAUGAAUCAACUUACUUAGAACAUACACAAUAAUAAUAUAAAUAUUGUUAUAAACAUUUGUGAUCAUUUUUUGUUAUUAUACUCUAUUUUAAAACAACACUCAGUUUACAAUCAAUUAACAUAAAAAAACUUGACUUUUUGUCAGUUACAAUACAAAUUAUUUUGUUAGGUUUAUAAGAAUAAUUAUUGAUAUGCAUUUCAAUUUUUUCUCAGCAUUUUAUUUUCCUAUAAAAUUUCUAUGAAUGGUUCAUUAUUCAAUCACAAGUAUUUUUGUCUUCUUCAAAAUGUUCAUAUAAAUGUAAAAAUUACCCAUUAAAAAUAUGGAAAAUGUGGAAACAGUUGCAUUGUUGAUUCCUCUUAAUUUCACAAUUCAUACACAGGCAUACAAAAAGAGGAUUAAGCAUAAAACAAACUAUGCAAUAAAUGAUUAUGCAAUUCACCGGUAUGCAAAAUAGGAUUAUGCAAUGUUAUAUGUAUGAAAAAAGCACCAAGUUAUUAACAGGUUAAAAACAAAUUUUUGUAAAAACUUAAAUUCAAAACGAAAAUACUUCAAGAAUAUAAAAAAAUUUCAAUGGAAUAUACACUUGUUCAAUUAACUUGUUCAUACCUGUCAACCUGUGACGAUGAAAAUGCAGGUCAUGACCUGCAUUGAAAGAUCAAAUCUCAGGUCAUAACGCGUACGAACUUUUUCGAGCUGAAUUUCAGUAUUUAUGGUACUUUUUUCUUAUAAUUUACAUCAAAGUUACCAAAACAUCAAUGCAUGUUCACUUGGUUAAGUAAUUUUAAAUCUUAUUA
rnacentral:lncRNA from 1 species